rnacentral:rRNA from 1 species
CCAGUGAAUUUUAAACGGCCGCGGUAUCCUAACCGCGCGAAGGUAGCAUAAUCACUUGUUCUUUAAAUGGGGACUCGUAUCAACGGCAUCACGAGGGUUUUACUGUCUCCUCUUUUUGAUCAGUGAAAUUGAUCUUCCCGUGAAGAAGCGGGAAUAUUUUUAUAAGACGAGAAGACCCCAUGGAGCUUUAAACCAAAUAACAACUUAACUACUUAUCCCACAAUAAAUUUAAGCCCUGUUAUAAGGUUUUUGGUUGGGGUGACCGCGGAGUAAAGCACAUCCUCCACGACGGAAAGAACAUAAUCUUUAUUUAAGAACCACACUUCUAGAAAUUAGUAUACUAACGUUUACUGACCCGACAAUCGAUCAACGGACCAAGUUACCCUGGGGAUAACAGCGCAAUCUACUUCAAGAGCUCAUAUCGACAAGUAGGCUUACGACCUCGAUGUUGGAUCAGGGUAUCCCGGUGGUGCAGCCGCUACCGA